rnacentral:rRNA from 1 species
UACAGAGGGGGCAAGCGUUAUUCGGAAUUAUUGGGCGUAAAGGGCGCGUAGGCGGCUUAGCAAGUGACGGGUGAAAUCCCUCGGCUUAACCGAGGAACUGCCUGUCAGACUGCAUGGCUUGAGACCAGGAGAGGUGAGUGGAAUUCCCGGUGUAGCGGUGAAAUGCGUAGAGAUCGGGAGGAACAUCUGUGGCGAAGGCGGCCAUCUGGAUCAACACUGACGCUGAGGCACGGAAAGCGUGGGGAGCAAACAGG